UACGUAGGGGGCAAGCGUUGUCCGGAUUUAUUGGGCGUAAAGAGCGUGUAGGCGGCCAUACAGGUCAGCUGUGAAAACUCGAGGCUCAACCUCGAGACGUCGGUUGAAACCGUAUGGCUAGAGUCCGGAAGAGGAGAGUGGAAUUCCCGGUGUAGCGGUGAAAUGCGCAGAUAUCGGGAAGAACACCCAUGGCGAAGGCAGCUCUCUGGGACGGUACUGACGCUGAGACGCGAAAGCCAGGGGAGCAAACGGG
rnacentral:rRNA from 1 species